CAAAACUACCCCAAAUACAGUUAUCAGUGCUAAAGAUACUAAACGCCUAAAAGCAGCAUCUUUUAUUCUUGCUUUUUUACAUGAAGCCAUAACUAAGUUACUAUAACAGCACUAUUUCUAUAACACAACAACUCUAUCCAAAACAAGAAAUGAAUCCAACUUGUUAAAUCUAACAGUUAAUUACAAAAACUGCAAUAAAAACAGUAGCUUACAGAUGAGGAUCAAGAACCUACAAUAUAGUCUUCAAAGUUGGAUUAUAAACUGAACUUCACCAAUUUCAGGUCAAAAUAACCAAAACCCUUCAAAAUAAGAACAUAAAACUACAAGGGUGUUGAAUUUUGACCAAUUCCAAAAGCAAAUAAUAAGAUAAAAAAUUGAUCAAAACAAUUUGAAAUUAAAACCCACUAAGGAAAGAUUCGAUUUUUUAAGUGGGUAAUAAAAAAAAUCGAAAUUUGGAGGCUCAGAUUUAUCAAAAUGUUCAAGAACAGUCAAAGGGUGUAGAGUGCAGUCCAGAAAUGACUAAAAAUUAUGAGUAGGAAAAGCCGUCAGGAGACACAAGUAAAAGAAGUAGAUCUUUUGGGGGGAAAUCUAGAAAUAACGAAAAAUUACAAUGACUUUGAUUUUUCAUGUGGAAAAUGGAAACUUCAACAAAAGUACAAAGGGGUCGGUCAGG
rnacentral:lncRNA from 1 species